CCAUGCAGUCGAACGGAAGGUCUCUUCGGAGAUACUCGAGUGGCGAACGGGUGAGUAACACGUGGGUGAUCUGCCCUGCACUUCGGGAUAAGCCUGGGAAACUGGGUCUAAUACCGGAUAGGACCACGGGAUGCAUGUCUUGUGGUGGAAAGCGCUUUAGCGGUGUGGGAUGAGCCCGCGGCCUAUCAGCUUGUUGGUGGGGUGACGGCCUACCAAGGCGACGACGGGUAGCCGGCCUGAGAGGGUGUCCGGCCACACUGGGACUGAGAUACGGCCCAGACUCCUACGGGAGGCAGCAGUGGGGAAUAUUGCACAAUGGGCGCAAGCCUGAUGCAGCGACGCCGCGUGGGGGAUGACGGCCUUCGGGUUGUAAACCUCUUUCACCAUCGACGAAGGUCCGGGUUCUCUCGGAUUGACGGUAGGUGGAGAAGAAGCACCGGCCAACUACGUGCCAGCAGCCGCGGUAAUACGUAGGGUGCGAGCGUUGUCCGGAAUUACUGGGCGUAAAGAGCUCGUAGGUGGUUUGUCGCGUUGUUCGUGAAAUCUCACGGCUUAACUGUGAGCGUGCGGGCGAUACGGGCAGACUAGAGUACUGCAGGGGAGACUGGAAUUCCUGGUGUAGCGGUGGAAUGCGCAGAUAUCAGGAGGAACACCGGUGGCGAAGGCGGGUCUCUGGGCAGUAACUGACGCUGAGGAGCGAAAGCGUGGGGAGCGAACAGGAUUAGAUACCCUGGUAGUCCACGCCGUAAACGGUGGGUACUAGGUGUGGGUUUCCUUCCUUGGGAUCCGUGCCGUAGCUAACGCAUUAAGUACCCCGCCUGGGGAGUACGGCCGCAAGGCUAAAACUCAAGAAA
rnacentral:rRNA from 1 species